rnacentral:rRNA from 1 species
CCUACGGGAGACAGCAGUGGGGAAUAUUGCGCAAUGGGCGAAAGCCUGACGCAGCGACGCCGCGUGAGGGAUGAAGGUCUUCGGAUCGUAAACCUCUGUCAGCAGGGAAGAACGGUCACUGUGCUAAUCAGCAGUGAAUUGACGGUACCUGCAAAGGAAGCACCGGCUAACUCCGUGCCAGCAGCCGCGGUAAUACGGAGGGUGCGAGCGUUAAUCGGAAUUACUGGGCGUAAAGCGCUCGUAGGCGGUAUGUCAAGUCAAGGGUGAAAUCCCCGGGCUCAACGUGGGAACUGCCUUUGAAACUGGCAAACUGGAGUGUGUGAGAGGAUAGUAGAAUUCCAGGUGUAGGAGUGAAAUGCGUAGAUAUCUGGAGGAACAUCAGUGGCGAAGGCGACUAUCUGGCACAUAACUGACGCUGAUGAGCGAAAGCGUGGGUAGCAAACAGGAUUAGAUACCCGAGUAGUC